UACGUAGGGCGCAAGCGUUAUCCGGAAUUAUUGGGCGUAAAGAGCUCGUAGGCGGUUUGUCGCGUCUGCCGUGAAAGUCUGGGGCUCAACUCCGGAUCUGCGGUGGGUACGGGCAGACUAGAGUGAUGUAGGGGAGACUGGAAUUCCUGGCGUAGCGGUGAAAUGCGCAGAUAUCAGGAGGAACACCAAUGGCGAAGGCAGCUCGCUGGGACGGUACUGACGCUGAGGUGCGAAAGCGUGGGGAGCAAACAGG
rnacentral:rRNA from 1 species